rnacentral:rRNA from 1 species
CAAUAGCGUAUAUUAAAGUUGUUGCGGUUAAAAGCUCGUAGUUGGAUUUCUGCCGAGGACGACCGGUCCGCCCUCUGGGUGAGCAUCUGGAUCGGCCUGGGCAUCUUCUUGGGGAACGUGUCUGCACUUGACUGUGUGGUGCGGUAUCCAGGACUUUUACUUUGAGGAAAUUAGAGUGUUUCAAGCAGGCGCACGCCUUGAAUACAUUAGCAUGGAAUAAUAAGAUAGGACCUCGGUUCUAUUUUGUUGGUUUCUAGAGCUGAGGUAAUGAUUAAUAGGGAUAGUUGGGGGCAUUCAUAUUUAAUUGUCAGAGGUGAAAUUCUUGGAUUUAUGAAAGAUGAACUUAGGCGAAAGCAUUUACCAAGGAUGUUUUCAUUAAUCAAGAACGAAAGUUAGGGGAUCGAAGAUGAUCAGAUACCAU